rnacentral:rRNA from 1 species
GACGAACGCUGGCGGCGUGCUUAACACAUGCAAGUCGAACGGAAAGGCCCUGCCUUUGUGGGGUGCUCGAGUGGCGAACGGGUGAGUAACACGUGAGUAACCUGCCCUUGACUUUGGGAUAACUUCAGGAAACUGGGGCUAAUACCGGAUAGGAGCUCCUGCUGCAUGGUGGGGGUUGGAAAGUUUCGGCGGUUGGGGAUGGACUCGCGGCUUAUCAGCUUGUUGGUGGGGUAGUGGCUUACCAAGGCUUUGACGGGUAGCCGGCCUGAGAGGGUGACCGGCCACAAUGGGACUGAGAUACGGCGCAGACGCCUACGGGAGGCAGCAGGGGGGAAUAUGGCACAGUGGGCGGAAGCCUGAUGCAGCAACGCCGCGUGCGGGAUGACGGCCUUCGGGUUGUAAACCGCUUUCGCCGGUGACGAAGCGUGAGUGACGGUAAUGGGUAAGGAAGCACCGGCUAACUACGUG